GGAGAAGUACUCAAGUCUGGUUGAAGAGGCUCCCCUGCUAAGGGAGUAGGCUGAGAGAUCGGCGCGUGGGUUCGAAUCCCACCUUCUCCGCCA
rnacentral:tRNA from 1 species